AUUGAACGCUGGCGGCAGGCCUAACACAUGCAAGUCGAACGGCAGCACAGCAGUAGCAAUACUGUGGGUGGCGAGUGGCGGACGGGUGAGUAAUGCAUAGGAAUCUGCCUUGUAAUGGGGGAUAACCCGGGGAAACUCGGGCUAAUACCGCAUAAUCUUUACGAAGCAAAGUGGGGGACCGUAAGGCCUCACGUUAUAAGAUGAGCCUAUGUUGGAUUAGCUAGUUGGUGGGGUAAAGGCCUACCAAGGCGACGAUCCAUAGCUGGUCUGAGAGGAUGAUCAGCCACACUGGGACUGAGACACGGCCCAGACUCCUACGGGAGGCAGCAGUGGGGAAUAUUGGACAAUGGGGAAACCCCGAUCCAGCAACGCCGUGUGUGUGAAGAAGGCCUUAGGGUUGUAAAGCACUUUCAGUAGGGAAGAAAAGCUUAAGGGUAAUAUCCUUGAGUAUUGACGUUACCUACAGAAGAAGCACUGGCUAACUCUGUGCCAGCAGCCGCGGUAA
rnacentral:rRNA from 1 species